rnacentral:rRNA from 1 species
GACGAACGCUGGCGGCGUGCUUAACACAUGCAAGUCGAACGGAAAGGCCCUGCUUGUGUGGGGUGCUCGAGUGGCAAACGGGAGAGUAACACAUGAGUAACCUGCCCUUGACUUUAGGAUAACUUCAAGAAACUGGGGCUAAUACCGAAUACGAGCUCCUGCUGCAUGGUGAGGGUUGGAAAGUUUCCGCGGAUGGAGAUGGACUCGCGGCUUAUCAGCUUGUGUGGUGGGGGAGUGGCUUACCAACGAUUUGACGGGUAGCCGGACAGAUAAGGCGACCGGCCGCAUUGGAACUGAGAUACAGACCACACUCCUACGGGAGGCAGCAGUAGGAGAAUAUUGCGCAAUGAGCGGAAACCUGAUGCAGCAACGCCUCGUGCGAAAUGACUGCCUUCGGGUUGUAAACCGCUUUCGCCUGAGACUAAUCGUGAGUGACCGUAAUGAGUAAAGAAGCACCGGCUAAAUACGUGCCAGCAUCCGCGGUGAUACGUAGGGUGCGAGCGUUGUCCGGAUUUAUUGGGCGUAAAAGGCUCGUAGGUGGUUGAUCGCGUCGGAAGUGAAAUCCCCGAGCUUAACUUGGGAAUUGCAUUCGAUACUGGUUAGCUAGAGUGUGGGAGAGGAUGGUAGAAUUCCAGGUGUAGCGGUGAAAUGCGCAGAGAUCUGGAGGAAUACCGGUGGCGAAGGCAGCCAUCUGGCCUAACACUGACGCUGAGGUGCGAAAGCAUGGGGAGCAAACAGGAUUAGAUACCCUGGUAGUCCAUGCCGUAAACGAUGUCUACUAGCCGUUGGGGCCUUUGAGGCUUUAGUGGCGCAGCUAACGCGAUAAGUAGACCGCCUGGGGAGUACGGUCGCAAGACUAAAACUCAAAUGAAUUGACGGGGGCCCGCACAAGCGGUGGAGCAUGUGGUUUAAUUCGAUGCAACGCGAAGAACCUUACCUGGCCUUGACAUAGUAAGAACUUUCCAGAGAUGGAUUGGUGCCUUCGGGAACUUACAUACAGGUGGUGCAUGGCUGUCGUCAGCUCGUGUCGUGAGAUGUUGGGUUAAGUCCCGCAACGAGCGCAACCCUUUUCCUUAUUUGCCAGCGAGUAAUGUCGGGAACUUUAAGGAUACUGCCAGUGACAAACUGGAGGAAGGUGGGGAUGACGUCAAGUCAUCAUGCCCCUUACGGCCAGGGCUACACACGUGCUACAAUGGUCGGUACAGAGAGUGGCGAGCCUAGCGAUAGGAUGCUAAUCUCAAAAAGCCGGUUUCAGUUCGGAUUGGGGUUUGCAACUUGACCUCAUGAAGUUGGAGUCGCUAGUAAUCGCAGAUCAGCAACGCUGCGGUGAAUACGUUCCCGGGCCU